UACGUAGGUGGCAAGCGUUGUCCGGAUUUACUGGGCGUAAAGAGCGCGCAGGCGGUCGUUCAAGUCGCGUGUGAAAGCCCCCGGCUCAACUGGGGAGGGUCACGCGAUACUGAUCGACUCGAAGACAGGAGAGGGAAGUGGAAUUCCCGGUGUAGUGGUGAAAUGCGUAGAUAUCGGGAGGAACACCAGUGGCGAAGGCGACUUCCUGGCCUGUUCUUGACGCUGAGGCGCGAAAGCUAGGGGAGCAAACGGGG
rnacentral:rRNA from 1 species